AACUGCCACGAUGCAGUAGUAUACACCAAUUCGAAUCAGAUCAUCGAAGCCUAGCCCAUUGGUCUAACAAGCUUCUACUUUGGAUACACCAUGAUGUUCUGUCUUGGCCUUGGAAUCCUUUGCGGAGCUGUUGGAUUCUUGGGAUCAAAUCUGUUUGUAAGGAGAAUCUACAGAAACAUCAAGUGCGACUAGACGAA